AACUCUUUUAGUAUUUUUUCCUUAUUUUGGCCUGAGAAAUGCAUGGUUAAAAUCUCUCGGGGUUCCUGGUAUGUAACAAUAAUAAUUGUUGGCGCCUCGUAGGUUUUUUUAUUCAGAAAGGUUUUUUUUUUAUUAUGUGAUUAUUUCUGUAAUUGAGAAGCUAUGUCACUGUUUUUAAUUGGGUGACUCUGGACUAUUUGAAAUUCAUUGUGAAAUGGGAUUUUACAGAAUCUCUUUCAAAUCGCGCACUUGGCAAAAAAAGUUUUUAAUUUUUUUUAACGUAAAUUAUUUGUAUAUCUUUCACGGGACAAUGAUGACUCGGACCUUUGGGAGGCGUGCGCGGAGCCCAAGCCAACAUGGAGAUGCCCUUAUGACACUUAUGAAAUGUGGGUUACACCGAGCGGAUGCUGUCCUUGCCCGUGUCAUAGAACGCGCGCAGAGGCAACACCCGCCAGGGUGUGGACUAUUGAGACUUCAUGGAAUCUAAAAUGAAAGCGAUGUAGUAAAUUGUGAGCUAUGGAAUAUUAAACGUAAUUUUAUAAUUGUAAAAUAUUAAACAUAUUUUACAAUUUUGAUUGAAUUUUGGGGUGACACCCACAAUUUCCGCCCCGGGUGCCACCCAUGCUAGCUACGCCACUGGGCACAGCUACAGUCAAAUUGUGAUUUAGUCGUUUUUUGUGUGACAUAUACUUCAAAUAUUUGGUGCUAACAUGUAUUUUGAUUUAUCCGCGUGCAAGCAAAAAUCCAUAAAAAAUCGCAUAGCAGAAACAGACUGAUUUAAUUAUUAUAUAAUAGUUUUAUAUUUUUCUUACUUUGCUGUAACAGUUGUACCCGUUUUUAAAGGCUAUUUUGGAUGUAGUGUAUGUUAAGAAAUACGCAAGUAAUGUUUCAGUGAUUUAUUAAAUGUCUAUACUUAAUGUAAAAAAAAAUAAUCUUUUACAUCUGUUAUUGUUGUUUCAUAGUUUCUUUAUGAUUAACUCUUAUCUAUUAACUUAAUAAUUAAAUAAGAAUAGUAUGCACGCUUACCAAAUGAAACCUUGGGCCAUCUUAAACUAUGUAUAGUAGUGACAUAAAUUUAAUUGUAAGCAAUCUCAUACCAUUGGUUAAUUUGAAGUGGUUCAAGAUUUUAAUUAGCUGUGCCUACUUCACGUGAGCGGAGGUGUAAGUUGUAAUUCAUACAUUCAUUUUAAUUUGCUGAGAGUGCCUACUUUACGUGAGCAGAGGUGUAAGUUGUAAUUCAUACAUUCAUUUUAAUUUGCUGAGAGUGCCUACUUCACGUGAGCGGAGGUGUAAGUUGUAAUUCAUACAUUCAUUUUAAUUUGCUGAGAGUGCCUACUUCACGUGGGCAGAGGUGUAAGUUGUAGUUCAUACAUUCAUUUUAAUUUGCUGAGAGUGCCUACUUCACGUGAGCGGAGGUGUGUAAGUUGUAAUUCAUACAUUCAUUUUAAUUUGCUGAGAGUGCCUACUUCACGUGAGCUGAGGUGUAAGUUAUAAUUCAUUCUUAUGGUUGCACAUGUAGCUCAUCAUUUUGUAAAAAUCGUUUUCAAAUGUCUUAUUUUCUUAUGAAAUAUUUAUGCAUGUAGUUGUUAAAAUGCUUAUAUGAGAUUUUAAUAAAUAUUUCUUAAUAAAA